GUCCACAGGCGCACAGUCUGCUGAGCUCUCUAGUUCUGAGCCCGGCGCUCCCGGGAGCGGCCUCCAUUCGGACUCAGAACCUGCCGCCCGCCGCCAGAGGCCAACGCCAGACGAUCUUUUCGGUGUUUCCACCACCGGGAAUCCCACUCGCGCCACGAUUCCAGAAAAAAAGGAUCCACAGCCCCCACACGGUUCGACGCAGUGGUCUCAGUGCAGUGCAUCGGAAGCGCAGACAACGAACCAACGCACGCAGCAGCCAAACUCCUGCAAAGAAGCAGCGCCUCCUGGACGCGCACCGACUCCAGCCGAGAGCAACAAGCAGAAACCUACUCCCCUAGCACAUCCCCUCGGCCUUCGCGCCUCCUCUCCCUAACCUUCAACUCCCAAGCGUCCCAAAUUUCAUCAGGAGCAUCCACCACCGAGUAAAUCUCUGGGGCAAUGGGGCAGUUCGGUCCGUCGUGGGACCUUUAAACUCCGACCUGGCUGGCUGCGCGGGUGCCCGGGUCUCCCAGCCUCCCACGCCACAGCUGAAAGUCCGAGAACCGGCUCGCCGAAACCGCGAGGAAAUCCCCAGAGAUGGCCCGGCCCCGGUGGCCGCAGCUCCCUGUAGGGGUCCCAAAGGUCCCUUAAACCUGAUCGCUUUCCCAGACUGAGGGAGGCUUCUAGGGCAGCCGACAGACAAGAGGGGAGGAGAGGAGGUGGAGAAGUGUCCGGACGUCGACAUGAAGAGAAAGGUGGACGCGAGCUCGGUCAUUCAAAGUCUCCCCCACCCCGCCGCAGCCACUACCCAGCAGGGGAAAAUGGAGAGGCAGAAAGAAAGGAGAGAGAAGAAAGUAGUUGCGCCGGGCUGUGUCGCGGGGCGGUGCGCGGAGCUGUUCGGUAGGGAGAGGAGCUUCAACUCUGAGUCCCGUGAACAUAAUCUGCGCGGUUAUAACCAGCCAACCCGGCCAGAUGGCUCCGCGCUCAGCGCCUUAACCCCUUACGCGCCGCGCCGCCCGCCCCCGCCCGGCCCGCGCAGCGCCGCGCACGCCGGUGCCCCAGAGCUCCUCGGACCUCGCUUCGGGACCUGUGGCGGGGAAGGGGUCAUUUCUCCUAGUCCCCCUUGAAAAACAAAACAAAAUAAAACAAAACAGAAACAGCCACAAAAACUUCCAAAUCAGUAGUAUUCAUCAGUAGCCCCCACCCUUGAGUUCUUUUUUAGAGAUCCAGGAAAAAACGAAACAUUAAAUUUACCGUAACAGGUUACAUGUUAGUGUCUUCAGCCUUUCUUAGUUGUUCUUUUUCUUGAAAUUUUUCUUUUUGAUCUCUUUUCUUUUACAAGGCAUUAGGACCUUUUUCUGGCCCUUUCCUCUGGCGGAUCAGGUCUGAGGCGUAAACUCCUCCUCCAAACCUUAGACCCUUCCAGCUCUUGAUCUCUCCCCACCCCCUACCAAGCCCACCCGCCACUCCUCCCCCCACCCCACAACAUGAACACGCCCUAGGACAAUCGCUCCCCGGCGAACUCGCCGCUCCCGGGGACCGGCGCCCAGGACGCGGUGUCGGCGGUCAAGGGAGGUCAAGGAUGGGGCCCUGCAGUUAAUCACUCGCCCAGCACCCACCAGUCUGCACCCGGGGACAGCGCGAGAAGCAGGAAAGGCGAGCAACAAACAAACCUCUUCGUGGCGCCCAGAAAGUAAUGACGCGCACUUCCCCACCGGUGGAUUCAUUCGAGGAAAGGAUGGGGGAGGGGGCAAAAUCUCUUAUUUGGAGAUAAUUUUAGCUGCCCGUUAGACCCCACUUGCUCCGAGCCGUUCUCUCUAAAUUUACCAAGUUAAGUCAUCGUGCUUUCGCCCAUUUGCCAUCGAGAGAAGUGUGUGUGGGGGGGAUAUCACUUAGGGAUCAACGAGAAAUCGAGAACCCUGGAGCGGAGUUUUGCCCUUUUGCCCCCUGCCCGAGUCCUUGCGUGGUGGACCUUCUCUCCAAGCUCCUCAUCCCUUCCUCCCGGCCACUUCAGCCACUCCUCACAUCACCUCCUGCCAGGACCUUUUGACUCACGCGCGACUGGGGUGGGGAGCGAGUAUCCCGUUUCCUCCCUGCCCUGUCGUUGGAGGUGUCUAAUAAGCAAGCCACUCCAUGUUUCGGUUAGGGCUCAGGUUCAAAAAAUCCAAAUACGUUGGAAUUGUUUGAGAUUUUGGUCAAACAGCAGAACUGCACCCACCGGUUCAGGACCAACCGGACACAAGGAGAAGCUGGGGGGUUUGAUGGGGAGGUGGGAAGGGAGGGGGAGUCUGGGGGCUGCGUACUAGAUAGAUUGUACCUGCCUCAUCAUUAUCCUGGCUGAUGGGGGUUGCCACAUCGAAAACGGCCGGAAGCGCCCGCUGAGGCCCAGGGGCGUCACCUCCUGCGGUUCCUCGCAAGGGUAGGGUCCUCCUUCAGUGUCUCCCCUCGUGCCAAAAUGUCGACGUCUUCCUCAGGGCCAGACGAGGCUGCCGACUCGUUCCCUCCACCCCGACACACAGCACCAUGAAGGUUUGGAUUGGGCGUGCUCUGUCGGGUUCUGCUUUUCUCCCUCUCAUCUGGCCCGCCUCCCUGCCCUCCCCCACUUCCCGCACUUGCCCCCCUCCUCCAGCUUCUUGCCCUGGUCAAAGGAGGGAUUCAGGCCCCAGUUUCAGAUCCACUGAUGGAGUUCUUUCCUCAAGCUCCAGAUCCUCCGGGAACCUUUUGCAAGGAAAGAGGUGGUUGGCUCCUGCUGCAGCAGGGAAGGGGUUAAAUACAUGUGCGGACUGAUCUGCAGGCAGCUCCCAGGUCCCUGGCAGUCUGGAGGGAGGAGGGGAAGGGGGGCAAACAAACUUGAAAAAUCAGAAGAAACGAAGAAGAAGAAAAGGCAGCAAGCAGUGUCUUUAGGACUUGGAUUUCUUCUGCAGAUGCCUUGCACUGGCUGGCCGCCUCACUUUGCCAAGACUUUCGGGGAUCCCAGGAAGAGUUUGUAUUGUUUCCACCUCCAGGGGGUUUUGUCCUGAACUGGUGGGUCCGUCUUUGCUUGCAAUCAACAGGCCUUGUAAUAUGAGAGGUGACACCUUAAUCUUGCCAAAUAUGUGCUGUGUCUUUGUGGGGAGAGGGGAGGAGGGACGGAGGGAAGGAGAGAGGAAGAGGGAGAGACCCAGACAGGAGCAGAGGGUGAAAAAUGCACUUUUCCUCAGACGAUUGGUUUCCCUAAGGGAGAGCCUUAGCCCUUUUCUGGGCGUCUUUCACACAAUCUCCCUUGAGCACCACGAACUGCCUUUUCCUUUACUGUUUUCCUUUAGACUUCAGACCUGAAGAUGUCUUGCCUCUAAAGACUAGGGAGUGACACCACCCCCCAGGUCUCUGUAGUGGCUUCCAGGAGAGCAGCAAGAUGCUAAAUGAACAGGGUGGGCAGAAAAAAAGAAUUAGAAAGGUGUAUUUUUGAAAAGAUAGAAUAAAAAGAUUAUUAUAUACAAUGUAGAGCCAUUUUUAAGCUGCAGAAUAUUGUGACUUCUAAGUAAAUCCGUGUUUCUAAAUAGAGAUUUUUCUUUUCUAUAGAAAGACCAUAGUGGUAUGUAUAGCAAAAGCAAAGAUCAGGACUGGAAAGUUAGCUGGCUAGGCUGCGAGCUCGUGCCCCAUAGACAGCCCUGGUUAAGGAAGCAUCCAGGAUGAGAUCUUUUAGGAUUCACUAGGCAAUUGUCCCUCUCCAAGUUGACUUCGUGGCCAUGACUUUGGCUGUCCAUCUGUCGACUAUAUUUUUAGGUUGCUGAACUUUCUUUUUCUCCCUGUUCCCUCUGAGCCUAAGUCCCUGACUCCUGAAAGUGAUUUCUGAGAGCAGGAACCAGAUCUUGUUUUUGAAAACCCCCUUUAAAACUCUUUCCUAAAGCAAAUUUCCAGAGCAUGCCUUCUGGGUACCCUUAUCUUUUGCAACAGCACCACUCUGUGGUUGGAACACUGAACAGAAACAGAACGUGGGAUUGAAUUUUGCCUUUACCUCAUGAAAAACAGCACUUCUCUCCUCUGUUUGAGCUCAGUGGACUGUGUGUUGUGGUGGGGGCUCGGCAUGUGGUGAGGGAGGGGGCCCUGUGCAGUGGCAGUAUGUGGUUAAUUCAUUGUGACAUGUUGACCCAGGAAAUGAGAGAAUUGGACCGAAUGGCCUCCUAGGACCCUGUUCGUGUCAAAGACAAGCUUGGUUUCCCACCCCCCACCAUGAUUGGGUAGGUAGCCUUGAAUGUUUGUUCUCUUCCAUUGCUUUUCUUUCUCUCUCUUUUGAAAUUACUGAAAUAAACGCCACGUUUUUCACUGAUCCUAAA